AUGACUCAGUUCGUGUACGUCGUCGACAGCUCCUUCCCGGAGGCUUGGACGGGGUUCUCACGCAAGGCGUUCGCCAGCCUCGGCGGCUUCAUCAGGCUCUGCCUCACGUCUGCAGUUAUGCUCUGUUUAUGUAUCUAUUUCUCUCUGGAGCUAGCUGAGUGGUCAACACCGAGGAAGAUGGGGAAGACAGAGCCAGUGAGGAAGAUGGCUCAGCCCUGCCACCGAUGCCCACCGGCCACUCCCGUCGGUCACCAGCAUAGGAGGGGCGCACCAUCGAGGAGCAGCAGGGGAGGAGAAGAGGAUACACCGCCGGACUCCCUCUUCACUUUAUGGUCGCAUCUUCCCCUUGAGCUCCUUCCUCCAUUCCCUUGCUUCCCUACCGUGCCCCUCCUGUGUACUUUUGAUUUGGUUGUGAAAUUGUACUCAAUGGUGCUUGCAGGAACCGCAUCACAACAGAUCAAUGGCAUUGUAGGUUCAGUGGCCAUGUAUGCUGAAUAUCCCCUCACUAUACAAGAUUGGAUUUUAGUCUAUACAAGCCAUCCUCUCAGCUGCUCAGGUGAAUGCACUGGACUUUUUGAGAUCGAGGCCACCAACGGCAUAUGCCAAGGGUGUCCAUUGACUACCUGCCCAAGGUCUGGAUUCACCGAGGAGGUACAACCGGACACUUGGUCGGCUGCCUACUGCAAUAGCGACUGUACAAAUAGCGGCACUGUGUUUGGUCAUUUGUUCUUGUGGCUUCGUGGCCAUGGGCACUUUACUGCUUUGUUCCAAAAAAACCUGAAAUCUAUAAUGAAAUUUGCAGUGGUGAUGAUAGCGGGUCUUCCGAAUCGCUUCCUCAGCCUAACAACAGAGCCUACAAACCAACUUUUAUCAACAUCAGUAAUGAUGCUGUAUUCCUUGGUCAGUUUUACCAAGAAAUAUCUCUGCCGCUGUAUUGACCCAAAGCUUUAUGACUUGCUAAUAAAAUCUAGAGAUGGAAAUCCCUGCAUCAAAGCCCGUCUAAUCAAAGGAGUCAACAAUAGGGCAAAAAUUACUAGAGGCUGGGCAGGCUUCUUCCCCGCAGCUAAUAUGAAGGAAAGAGAAAUAUAUGCCUUCGCUUUCAAGCGCAACUACAAGCGCUUGGGUCUCACCGUGCACGCCCUCUGA
rnacentral:rRNA from 1 species